AGGGUGAAUUUCCUUGCCAUCCAGAAGUAGACUUCUGAGUCACUCAAGUGUUCCUAUCCUCAAAUUAUCCUCACCAAAUAUGACAACCAUUUUACCCACUCAAAGGAACUCCAUCAAAAGUCUAAGAUAAAAAGAAGCAAUUAAAUAAUAAAGAAAACUUUUGACCUACUUUGUUAGGCAGUGAAAAGCACACUUCCAGCUCUGUGCUAUGUAACUGUCAUCAGUGCUUCACCUAAUAAUUUAAUGAGCUGAACAAGUGACAUCUUGGGUGAACACAUGCCUUUUGCGGGUCUUGUUGCUAUGCAAAAAAAAAAAAAAAAAAAAAAAAAAAAGCAUAUAAAAACUGGUCCUUGGUGUUCCCUCAUUUUGUUAAUGAACCUGACUAGCACCCAUAAGGACAUGAGUUCAACCACCAGCCUUGCCCAGUGGGUUAAGGAUCCAGUGUUGCCAGGAGCUGUGGUGUAGGUUGCAGACGACUACAGCUCUGAUUCGACCCCUAGCCUGAGAACCUACAUAUGCCACAGGUGCAGCUCUAAAAAAAACAAAACAAACAAAAAAACCACUAUAAUUUCUUAAAACACAGAUACAUUCCAACAGCCACUUGGAUUUAUACAAAGAUGAUUCCUGUCACUCUUCCUCCUUCCUUCUCAACCAGCUCUUCUCGUAUUUUCCUUCUCCUCCCUCAGAACUGCUGAGUUGGGUUCUAGAUUCCUAUGCUGGUUCCUGGAUUCAAAGCAGAUCCUUCUGAGCCAAGACAUGUCUGCCAGGACGGGCAGUACCAUUUUUAGCUAUGUCUCCCUCCUCUCCUCCCCAACCCCUACCAGAGAAACACUGAUACAUUUAAUGUUCCUUCUUUCCUUUCAGCUGGCAAAGUUUUCUCUGUAUCUGAUGUUUUUCUCUACUUGCUCCAUGCUCUUCUUUUUUCUUUUCUCUUUUUUUUCCCUCUUUCGUGUUCCUCUCUCAGGGAAGGGGUGAUUGAUAAGAAACUGCAGGAACACCAAGAGGCAAUUUUAGAGAAGGAGGGAGCCCAGUAACAUGAUUCUAAAUUGGGAGGGAACAACGGAAAAUCGAAUAUGCUUUAAGCAAUGUCGUAUUACAUUCCUUCUUUGCAGGCCUUUGAAGAUAAGUGUUAAAAUUCUUCCCAUCAUAGAGAUGGAAAACAAAGGACUGAGAGGUUAAGCCACAAUGCCAAAUCUAAUAGAGUAGCACCAAGAUUUGGGCCCAGACAAUGUGAUUCCAGGGCCUAUUCUUACCCUUGUACUUCUCCCUUGAGCUCAGAUUUGAGGAAUGAAUAUGAGUUACAUAAACAAAUAAAUAAAGGAGAGUAAGUUCUUCUAGGCAGAGGGCACAACAUUAUACGGAGGGCUAAAGAAGUGAACCAGCUUAAGAAGUCUGGGGAACCACAAUGUCCACAGGGAAGUAACCAGGAAACAAAAUACCUUGCCAACUUCAGAGACUCUUUAUGACAUAGUUUGGGAGUGGUAAAACACCUCAUAUUUAGGAGACCUGGGUUGGAAUGACAUCUCCAUUGCUGGUUAGUGUGUUACCUAACCCUCCUAAGCCUCUAGCUCCACAUCUCUAAAACAAAUGACACAUAUUUCACAGUUUAAUAGAAAUGAUUUUAAAAGACAACACAUGAAAAAGCUUGUAAACCAUAGUGUUCUAUGCAUUCUCUCACUCUCUCUCCUUCUGUAAUGGAAAGUGGGUCCAGAAGAGGGACUCAGGAAGCAACUGGAGAGUAAAGGACAUUCUAGGGCCUGGGAAAAUCCUGAAGCAACCUUCAGUCUGGAAGUUAUUUUUUUCUAGCCUGAAGUCUGGGAGGUUUAUGAGGCCCAUCCUAACCCAGCAGUACAGAGAAAAUAGUUUGCCAAAGGCAUUAGUCAAGCAGUUUUCCAUUACAGGAAAGCUGCACCUUUGACCCUCUUCAUUUUAUGGAUUUUAUGAAAUACGAUAGAACAGAAAUGACUAAAACAAUGAAACAGAAGACUUUAUAUUUUAAAAACUGAACUUUGAGAAAAUAUGGAGAAACUCCAAAAUUUGUUUAUCCACUGUAGUCCUGGUGGAGGAGGCAGGGUCAGGCUGAAACACAGUCUGAGUGACAGCAAGGCUGACUAGAAGGUGACGAAAUGACCUAUGACAGAAGAUGCCAAGCCCAACAUAAGAGUCACUUCCCUUGGCCACCACUGGGUUUCAGUACAGGGAAUUAUUUGGAGCCAUUUGCAAGUUGUGCAAUACUAGUUGGAGUAAAGGUCAAUAUGUCAAGUGCUGAGGGCUUUUCUCUAUUCCUAAGUUCCACUUCAGGUGCUAAAGAAACAGCAAUAAACAAGACAGGCAAUGUUAUUGCUCUCUUGGAGCCUACAUUCUAGGACCAAGUUGGAUGGGGGUAUAAAUGUACUAGAAAAUUUCAGAUAAAGUACUAAGCAACACAUAGGAAGUGCUCAGUGAUAUCUGUCAACUGAAUGGAUAGAUUAAUGAGGCCUAGGAUUCUCUCAAAAGAUCACCUUUGUGCAGCAAGGCAGUAAAACCACCUUUCUUCACUGGUAAUGCCAUUGAAAGCAGUCAUUCAAAUUCAUUCAGUCAUUCAGCAAACUGUUCUUAUGUGUAUAGUCCAUGCCAGGCACUAUUAGGGGCAGUUGGGGAUAUGAAAUAUAUCCUAGACACUCAAUCACCCUUUUAUUGAGAAAUCUGCUUCUGUUUGUUCUAUCUUCUACUAAAUUUCCCCACUUUCAGAUUCAGCCUGCAAGAACCUCCUUCUAGGAGGGACAUAAAAAGCUCAGGGCCUAAACACAUGCAGAGCCUGGAUGAUCCAGGCUUCCCGAACAGGAGAAGUAGGACAUUUUCACAAGGCAGGUGGUUCCUCACUGGAGUGUCCCAUCAUGCUGAAAAUCUCAUGUUGAACUAGUAGUGACAAUGAAAGUUAAAGGUCAGGCAGGGCAGUGGUCAAUUCUUUCUCAAGCAUGAGCACACAUGUCAUUUAAUUUGUAGGUGGGUCACCCAACCACAGAAUGUUCUGGAAGCCUAAGAUGUCUAGAAGUCCAGAAUGUUCUAGAAGUUUACCUUCUAUACAGAAGAGUGGAAAAUUAUCACGGAGGAAGAGUCUUACUGCUACUAUUUCCACAGAGUAGAGUAGAGCAACUACACUCUAAGUCCUCUUACUGCUGGCACUUUCUAGGCCCACAAACAUGCAUAUAGAGACAAAUAAUUAGGAUGGCUUACUAUUAAUAUAUAAGAUAUGUGAGGAAACAAAUCCAGCCAAUUCUGUAGUGACUUUUCUUCUCUAAACCCCACGAUACCUUUGAGAAAAGCCUAAUCUUUCUUGCCAAAAUAUAGAGCCCUCUUCCAGGUGCCUGUUAAUCCUUCUUUUUAUGAUUAUUUUUUUUAACCAAAGAAAGUUUAUUGAGCUGACAAAACCGUUUAAUUUAUGAUUUCAAAAUUUUGACCAGAAAAGGUUAAGAUUUUUAGUUGUUUAAAGGUUUGGAAUGUGGAAAACAGCCCAGACAAGCAGCCAGAAAAGGCUAAGGAGGAAACACAGGUUCUGAGAGUGGAAAAUAAUCUACCCCCAGAGACUGGAUAGAGAGCAAAUGAAAAUCACAAUUUAGAACAAGAAAGAGCACAUGUAUCUACCUGUAAAUUGUUGUCAAUUUCUUCUAUCCCCCCAAAAAAGACUUAAUAUGCAAGAACAAAUGUAUAUGUCAACUGGGAUUGCCUUCUGGAAAAAAGUCAAUCCAUAAAUCUAAGACAAAAAUAAAUAAGCCACCAUCUUAGGCAAUGUUAUUGAAAAACUGAUAUGGCAAAUCUGGGCUUCAAGCUGAUAAGCUGAGGUUGGAAAACUGGCCCAGGAUUCUGUUUGCUUCCCCCAGAUUUGAGAGAGGUCUAUAAUUGUUGUUCUUCCUAACCUCCACCCCUCCUCUCCCUCCCUCCCAAUACAGGUCCCCUGCCCAGAGAUUAAUGUGACUGCCUUUGUAGCAGGUUGAGAUAUGCUGAGGUAUCAUACUGGCCUCCUUGGCCCUGUAUUAGUUACAGAUCCUAAAAGUCAGCAGUUUGGUUUUUCUAGAUAGGCUUUGGUUAGAUUUCUUACUAUUACUUCACUUCAAGUGGUGGGAAACCGUUUUUCAUUUGAAAUGUACAUACAUCAUCAUAGAUCAUGAGUGAGAACAGUAACAUGACCAGUGUAAAUGUUACAUCCUAAUAUUACUAGCCUAGACUUUGAUAACUCUGUGGGUUGGUUGUUUUGAUUUGUUUUGUUUUGUUUUAGCUACAGAGGAAAACUGAUUAUGACUUAAGCUUUUCUUCAAGGUGGAAAAUUCUAUCAUGAACCUUAGAUUCAGUACUCUGAAUGGGAAGUUCAGCCCUUUUUUUUUGGAUACUUGGUGGGGUUGAUGGAUUCCUGGACAGAUGGUGGUGGGAGGCCACCACUACCCAUUCCUCCAGAUCAGUAGCUCUAUUUCAGGCUGUAGGUAACAGAACAAACUCAUUCGUAGAAGGCUGGUUCUAAAAAAUGCAACUGAAUAUUGUCCUAAGGAAUGAAUCCUAGAGGGGAACAAGACAGCCCAUGAAGGAGAGGGCUAUCUUAUCUUCAGAACUAAGGGCCUGACAUGGAGGAAAUGUUCUAUAAACAAUAUUUUGAAUAACUUGAAGUACCCUUUUCCUCACUGGUCUAUUUAUCAAGCAUCUGAGAAAACAUCAAAAGCUGAAAUCACACCUUUGUUCAAAUAUCUCACCUUCCCUCACUAAUGAAUAUUUUGCUGGCAUUCCCAAUGGCUAACAGAAAGAACUGACUGAACUCUCCUGUGCUCAAGCUCUCUUUCAUCUUUAAAAGCUGAAGGAUCCCUCACCUGUAAAACCUGUACUGGCCUUGGCUUGAUAUUGGUCCUUUUCUGUUCCAUCUUUCUGUUUCUUUUCUGAUGGUGUUCCAUCACCACAUCUUUACUUUCUGCAGAAGAUCAGUAACGUAUCUAAAGGCUGGAAACACAAAGGUCUAGACAAUUUACAAACACCCCAGUCAUCUUCUGAAUAAUAAAAUGCCCAAGGCAAUAUAUAGGUCAAGGAAGAGGGUGAUUUUCUGUUGAUCUGUGCUCCAUUGCGUGUAUGUGGCAUUCUUCUUCUUCUUCUUUUUUUUUUUUAAGAAUACUCUGUUUGAAAUGUGGGUGCUCUACUUUUAUCCUACCCAGAAAAGAAGAUUUUUUACUUAAAAAUAUUUGUUUACUU
rnacentral:lncRNA from 1 species